AUUGAACGCUGGCGGCAGGCUUAACACAUGCAAGUCGAGCGGAGAUGAGGUGCUUGCACCUUAUCUUAGCGGCGGACGGGUGAGUAAUGCUUAGGAAUCUGCCUAUUAGUGGGGGACAACAUUCCGAAAGGAAUGCUAAUACCGCAUACGUCCUACGGGAGAAAGCAGGGGAUCUUCGGACCUUGCGCUAAUAGAUGAGCCUAAGUCGGAUUAGCUAGUUGGUGGGGUAAAGGCCUACCAAGGCGACGAUCUGUAGCGGGUCUGAGAGGAUGGUCCGCCACACUGGGACUGAGACACGGCCCAGACUCCUACGGGAGGCAGCAGUGGGGAAUAUUGGACAAUGGGGGGAACCCCGAUCCAGCCAUGCCGCGUGUGUGAAGAAGGCCUUAUGGUUGUAAAGCACUUUAAGCGAGGAGGAGGCUACUGAGACUAAUACUCUUGGAUAGUGGACGUUACUCGCAGAAUAAGCACCGGCUAACUCUGUGCCAGCCGCCGCAGUAAUAC
rnacentral:rRNA from 1 species